CUGUUUUGGGCCCCUUCACAGCCACCUCAUUAACGAGGAAGUAUGACCUCAACCUGGGUGUAAUGGAGCUGCCACUGGGGAUAACUGCACUUGGAAGCAGUGUCUACUCUUAGUCUGUGUGGGAGGGACACCAGAUGGAUGUGACAGAAAAAUGGAGGAAGCGCAAGUAGUUGCACCAAAACCCUUGCCAUAUAAUUCAGAUGGAAAAUGUCAGAACAGCAUUCCAGACAACAAGAACUGUGUACUUUUACUGGGGGCCUGCCAAGGGCUGAAA